CCUACGGGUGGCAGCAGUGAGGAAUAUUGGUCAAUGGACGAGAGUCUGAACCAGCCAAGUAGCGUGAAGGAUGACUGCCCUAUGGGUUGUAAACUUCUUUUAUAUGGGAAUAAAAUGUUCCACGUGUGGGAUUUUGUAUGUACCAUAUGAAUAAGGAUCGACUAACUCCGUGCCAGCAGCCGCGGUAAUACGGAGGAUCCGAGCGUUAUCAGGAUUUAUUGGGGUUAAAGGGAGCGUAGGUGGAUUGUUAAGUCAGUUGUGAAAGUUUGCGGCUCAACCGUAGAAUUGCAGUUGAAACUGGCAGUCUUGAGUACAGUAGAGGUGGGCGGAAUUCGUGGUGUAGCGGUGAAAUGCUUAGAUAUCACGAAGAACGCCGAUUGCGAAGGCAGUUCACUGGACUGCAACUGACACUGAGGCUCGAAAGUGUGGGUAUCAAACAGGAUUAGAUACCCUGGUAGUC
rnacentral:rRNA from 1 species